rnacentral:lncRNA from 1 species
GAGGAUGGAUGUACUGUUCAAAGGCGAGAGAGGUUUCAUUCAUCAACGGUGUUGAUUCUUUUGUGAAGGCCGCCAAGGCGUACAUCACAAACAAUCCUCAGAAUGAUGGGUACGUAUGUUGCCCAGGCAUUGAUUGCAAAAAUUAGAAGGAGUGGAGCAAUGUCGAGCAGAUCUGCUGUCAUUUGUUGCGUAGGGGUUUUACGGGUAACUAUUGGGUACGGAAUAAGCACGGUGAGGGUGGCGUUAAUGAAUCUAAGGCAACGACCGUGUCUGAACCUGCCCGGGCUGCAGCCGUGCAUGGAAACACUGGUGAAACUUCUUAUGAACUGCCAGUGCUAGAAACUUCUAAUGAGCUGCCCGUGCCAGAAAGCAAGCGCGAGACAUUAGCAUUAGGUGAAGGGUUAGAUUCCAUAGACCGGAUGCUAUGUGAUGCGGAGCAUGAAUGCCUU